GGAUUUGUGCCUGUGUAAGGAAUACUUUGAUAGAGUAAAUAUAAGGGUUCUAGCCCCUUCAACUCCU
rnacentral:tRNA from 1 species